GACGAACGCUGGCGGCGUGCCUAAUACAUGCAAGUAGAACGCUGAAGGAGGAGCUUGCUUCUCUGGAUGAGUUGCGAACGGGUGAGUAACGCGUAGGUAACCUGCCUGGUAGCGGGGGAUAACUAUUGGAAACGAUAGCUAAUACCGCAUAAGAGUAGAUGUUGCAUGACAUUUGCUUAAAAGGUGCAAUUGCAUCACUACCAGAUGGACCUGCGUUGUAUUAGCUAGUUGGUGGGGUAACGGCUCACCAAGGCGACGAUACAUAGCCGACCUGAGAGGGGGAUCGGCCAACCUGGGACUGGGACACGGCCCAGACUCCUACGGGAGGCAGCAGUAGGGAAUCUUCGGCAAUGGACGGAAGUCUGACCGAGCAACGCCGCGUGAGUGAAGAAGGUUUUCGGAUCGUAAAGCUCUGUUGUAAGAGAAGAACGAGUGUGAGAGUGGAAAGUUCACACUGUGACGGUAUCUUACCAGAAAGGGACGGCUAACUACGUG
rnacentral:rRNA from 1 species